rnacentral:rRNA from 1 species
AGAGUGAACGCUGGCGGCAGGCCUAACACAUGCAAGUCGAGCGGAAAGGCCCUUCGGGGUACUCGAGCGGCGGACGGCUGAGUAACGCGUGGGAACAUGCCCCAAAGUGAGGAAUAACUGCCCGAAAGGGUAGCUAAUGCCGCAUAUGAUCUUCGGAUUAAAGGAUUUAUCCGCUUUGGGAGUGGCCCGCGUACGAUUAGGUAGUUGGUGAGGUAAAGGCUCACCAAGCCCACGAUCGUUAACUGGUCUGAGAGGAUGAUCAGUCAGACUGGAACUGAGACACGGUCCAGACUCCUACGGGAGGCAGCAGUGAGGAAUCUUCCACAAUGGGC